AUACGGAGGAUCCGAGCGUUAUCCGGAUUUAUUGGGUUUAAAGGGAGCGUAGGUGGACAGUUAAGUCAGUUGUGAAAGUUUGCGGCUCGACCGUAAAUUUGCAGUUGAUACUGGCUGUCUUGAGUACAGUAGAGGUGGGCGGCAUUCGUGGUGUAGGGGUGUAAUGCUUAGAUAUCACGAAGAACUCCGAUUGCGAAGGCAGCUCACUGGACUGCAACUGACACUGAUGCUCGAAAGUGUGGGUAUCAAACAGGAUUAGAUACCCUGGUAGUCCACACAGUAAACGAUGAAUACUCGAUGUUUGCGAUAUACAGUAAGCGGCCAAGCGAAAGCAUUAAGUAUUCCACCUGGGGAGUACGCCGGCAACGGUGAAACUCAAAUGAAUUGACGGGG
rnacentral:rRNA from 1 species